rnacentral:rRNA from 1 species
UAACUCCCGAUUCGUCAUAGCGUAUAUUAAAGUUGUUGCAGUUAAAAAGCUCGUAGUUGAAUUUCGGGAUUUGUCAGUUGGUCGGGCUUCACUGUCCGUACUGAUUCGAUGGAUUCUUACCUUCUGAAUAACCAGCAUGCUAUUUAGUUAGUGCGUUGGGGAAGCAGAUCUAUUACCUUGAAAAAAUUAGAGUGCUUAAAGCGGGCUAGUGCUUGAAUAGAUUAGCAUGGAAUAAUAAAAUAGGACGGCAUGGUUCUAUUUUGCUGGUUUCUAGGAUCACCGUAAUGAUUAAUAGGGAUAGUUGGGGGCAUUAGUAUUCAAUUGUCAGAGGUGAAAUUCUUGGAUUUAUUGAAGACUAACUUCUGCGAAAGCAUUUGCCAAGGAUGUUUUCAUUAAUCAAGAACGAAAGUUAGGGGAUCGAAGACGAUCAGAUACCGUCGUAGUCUUAACCAUAAACUAUGCCGACUAGGAAUCGGACGAAGUUAAUUUUAUAAUGACUCGUUCGGCACCUUACGGAAACAGGGGGGGGGGGGU